rnacentral:rRNA from 1 species
UGGGGAAUAUUGCACAAUGGGCGCAAGCCUGAUGCAGCCAUGCCGCGUGUAUGAAGAAGGCCUUCGGGUUGUAAAGUACUUUCAGCGGGGAGGAAGGCGAUAAGGUUAAUAACCUUGUCGAUUGACGUUACCCGCAGAAGAAGCACCGGCUAACUCCGUGCCAGCAGCCGCGGUAAUACGGAGGGUGCAAGCGUUAAUCGGAAUUACUGGGCGUAAAGCGCACGCAGGCGGUCUGUCAAGUCGGAUGUGAAAUCCCCGGGCUCAACCUGGGAACUGCAUUCGAAACUGGCAGGCUAGAGUCUUGUAGAGGGGGGUAGAAUUCCAGGUGUAGCGGUGAAAUGCGUAGAGAUCUGGAGGAAUACCGGUGGCGAAGGCGGCCCCCUGGACAAAGACUGACGCUCAGGUGCGAAAGCGUGGGGAGCGAACA